CGGGAGGCAGCAGUUAGGAAUCUUGGGCAAUGGGCGAAAGCCUGACCCAGCAACGCCGCGUGGGUGACGAAGGCCUUCGGGUCGUAAAGCCCUUUUGCACGGGAAGAUGAUGACGGUACCGUGCGAAUAAGCCCCGGCUAACUACGUGCCAGCAGCCGCGGUAAUACGUAGGGGGCGAGCGUUGUCCGGAUUUAUUGGGCGUAAAAGGCUUGUAGGUGGCCACGCCAAGUCGGAUGUGAAAUCUCCCGGCUCAACUGGGAGGGGUCAUUCGAUACUGGCGGGCUCGAGGCCGGUAGGGGGAAGCGGAAUUCCCGGUGUAGUGGUGGAAUGCGUAGAUAUCGGGAGGAACACCAGUGGCGAAGGCGGCUUCCUGGACCGGUUCUGACACUGAGGAGCGAAAGCGUGGGGAGCGAUCCGGAUUAGAUACCCGGGUAGUCCACGCCGUAAACGGUGGGCACUAGAUGUCGGGGGUAUCGACCCCUCCGGUGUCGCAGCUAACGCAUUAAGUGCCCUGCCUGGGGAGUACGGCCGCAAGGCUA
rnacentral:rRNA from 1 species